UAGGGAAUAUUGGGCAAUGGAGGCAACUCUGACCCAGCCAUGCCGCGUGCAGGAUGACGGCGCUCAGCGUUGUAAACUGCUUUUAUCAGGGAAGAACCUUAGUCCUGCGGGAUUAGUUGACGGUACCUGAGGAAUAAGCACCGGCUAACUCCGUGCCAGCAGCCGCGGUAAUACGGAGGGUGCAAGCGUUGUCCGGAUUUAUUGGGUUUAAAGGGUGCGUAGGUGGUUCUGUAAGUCUGAUUUGAAAGCCGGCGGCUCAACCGUCGGAUGUGGUUGGAAACUGUGGAACUUGAAUGGGGUAGCGGUAGCCGGAAUGGGUCAUGUAGCGGUGAAAUGCAUAGAUAUGACCCGGAACACCGAUUGCGAAGGCAGGCUACUGGGCCUUGAUUGACACUGAGGCACGAGAGCAUGGGUAGCGAACA
rnacentral:rRNA from 1 species